CUUAGGACUACUCUGUGGGUCAGGAAUUCAGGAAGGCUUCAUUGGGUGAUUUGUCUUUGACCUAUGUGGUAAUAACUGGGAUGGCUGGGGCCAGAGGAUCCGCUUAGAAGAUAGCUUCUUCACUCAUACCCAUAGCCCCUCAGUGUUCUGUGGCCUCUCUCUCUUUACCUGGCAUCCUUAGGUUGCCUGCAGGUGGCUUGAGUUUCUCUCAGUGUGGUGGUUUCAGGGCAGUCAAUUUGCUUACAUGGAAGCUGACUUUCUCAGUGGGACCAUUUCAAGAGUGAUUGUUCUAAGAGAUCAAGGCAGAAGUUUCAAGGCUUUAUAUGAACUGGCUUCAGAAAUCACAUAGUAUCAUUUCUGGUACACUCUGUUGGUUACACAGGGUCAACUCAAAUUCACUAUGGGAAGGGAUGACAAAAGGAAGAGAGUACAGGGAGGCAUGGUUCAUUGGAAGUUAUUUUGGAGAUCAGCUAUCAUAGCAAUUGAUUGCCCACGAUUUUCUGUUUUUUGUUUUUUUUCCUUAAAUCUCCUGACCUACUGAAAUUUGCCAGGUUAAAAUCUCAGAGCUUACUGACCCUGGGAAAUGCUAUCCAAAGAGAUCAUGUAGAGCUGGUAUCAGAGGAUUUUUCAAGGUUAUUUUAGGAGCUGGUGCAUCCUGACAUUCAAAGAAUACACACAUUUCUUUUCACUAAGUUCUCAUAUAAAUGCCAUGACAGGCAGUGAGAUAGACUUAGAGUAUUCCUGGCCUCAGGAGGUGGGACUUCCAUGAGGAACUGCUAUCUUAACCUCUAUCCUGUUCACUGCCUCUCCACAAAGGAGAAAGGGUCUAAGAUUUUAAAUAUGUGCCAGGCACACACUUAGCACAUACAUACAUGUUAGUGGUGAAUCCUCCCAAAGACCGGUGAGAUAGACUGUAUUAUACUCAUUUCAUAAUUGAAGAACCUCUGGUUCUGCUAAGCCACUAGCCUGAUGUCACACAGCAGGUAAGUGGCAACCCUGAGCUUUAAACCUAAAUCUUCUGGUUUUAAAGCACAUUGUUCUUCUACAGCACAAGAAACUGAACUGAUGUAGCAUUAUUCUGUACUUUAUUAAGGUUCAAAUUUCACUGAGCAUAUAACUGUAUACUAACUACUGUCGAAAUAUAUUUUGAAUUAGAAAUGUACAUACCUGUAAGUCUCAAAAAAAUUCUAUCAGCUUUGGCCUGGGCUCUCCAGAGUGCUCUUGGAGAUGUGCAACACUUUCCAAUUAGCAUUCUCUUUGGCCUGAUGGAUGAGGAGAAUGGGGAUGGUCAGCUAUCUCUUUUAUCCAAAUAUGAGGUCCCCAGUGUUAGAGGUCUCACUCUGGCUUUCAGUGGGGCAAAUGUUCAUGAGCACACUACCGUUGAGCAUGGCUUGCUUAGUGAGCCCAUAGGAAAUCAGGAAAUUCACAAUGAUAAAGAAUGAUGGAAUAACUGAGAUGCAUGGUAUUUUUCUUAGACCUCUUAAGAGACUGGCAACAAAUUGGGGCUUGAUGGAAAUUAAUUUACAUGAGUCAAGAAAAACCAGAGGACAGGUAGUAGGAUUGAUAAUGUCAAAGUAGGAGGAGAAGAGGAAGAAUCAUAUAUUAAAGGAGAGGUGAGAAAUGGCCAUACAUUGCAAUUGGCUCAAGGCAGAGAAAAGUUAAUUCUACACUUUAUAAUAGCACUACCAAUUAUUCACUGUCGGUACUAAGAAAUAUUUGUCAGCUCUCAACUUGUAAGUGGAGAUAAAUCUUACAUGUUCAGUUGUGUCAGGUUAUCAUCUGGUCUACACUAAUUGAAUUUGUAAUAGACCAGCCUGAGUCCUGACUCUCCACAAAGCUUCUCCUGACUACUCCCUCACGUGCUGAUUCAUGAACUUACGUCGUUACCCUACGGAGCUUUAUCUGAUUAAUUCACUAGAUUAUGAGUCUUGAGGCAACAGUUCUUUCACUAUACUUUUCCACCUCCCUACCCUUGCUCAACAUGUACACAUACACACUCACAUGCUCAUACACACACACUCACACACACAUUCACACUCACACAAUAUACUCACACACUCACACACCACACACUCACAGGCACAUACCCUUUUCUUCCAGCACAGGCCUAAAUCCUUAGGAAGCACAUAAUAAACACUGGAUGAAAGAACUGGGUUCCACACACUCAAAAACAUUUAAUGCAGAACAAUGCAUAGCCGUUAACUAAUUCAUCGAUGAUGCCAGUCUAAUUUCAGGUGUUAUUGCUAGGCCUGUUAAGCUUGGCCAGUUAGCUAUCAGCUCUGUUGAUGUUUGUAGCUUCUCUUAGAUGAACAUUUCCCAGAGUGAUUGCUCCGGAAUGUUACUUUGGAAUGUUCACACAUUAUAUGCAGUGUUGGGAGAUCUACAGUUCAUACUAGUAUAUUAAAUGCCCUGAGAAGACCUGCAGGAAAGGAAGCCAUUGUCUGAGUGAACAUUUUCCAAAUUAAUUUAUUUGACCAUAGGUUAUCUCUUAAGACAGCAGCACCUAUUUAUUUUCCAGGAAAGUAGUGUUUCCUGAAAUACAUUUCAGGAAAUCAUGGCCCACAAACCCCUGCUUUGAUUCUUUAUCUUCCUUGUUCUUGUGCUUGGUACUAUCUACCUCCCUGUGCCUCAGGCCCAGGGCUUACCUUCUUGCUUCUGAGUGGAUAGAAGCUCUGAGAACCUACAGAAAGAUGCCCCUUUAGGCUAACUUAGCAUUGUUUCAGGCUAGGAGGGGCCCCAGAAAUACCAUGUCCAAUCUUUCAUUUCAGAAACGAGGACAUAGAUGCAGAUGAGGAGAAGUCCAUUGAACACACUCAAGUUAGAACUGCAACUAAAACCCAGGCCUCUAAGUUCCAAAGAAAGAACAUUUCUCCCCUUCUAUUUUUCCUCCAUUCAUAGCGAAGCAGUUUCCUAGAGAGCCAGCAUUUGGGCCCUGCUGGCUUCAUUGAAAGUAGGCAGGCUCAAAAGCUGGAUAUAAUUAGUGAUUUUGAGGAGUUCAAUGCAUGUCCUGGAAAUGGAGAAGAUUGGCAACUGGAGCCCAUACUUUGGCAGAGGCUGAAUGCUGCUUCUAAAACUCCUGGAACAAUAUAGUGCAUUAGCUGGUCCGCCUCCACCUUGAAAUAAAGGCUUCUGGCUCCCAUGGGCUGGGCAAGGCAGAAAGGGAACAACUUGAUUUUCAAAUAAAGACCUUCUUUGAAAAAUUUCCCAGGGGACAUGAUUUGUGGGAUCAUAGCCCAGUGCACUUCUUCCACCAGACACCCUGGUUUUGGAAUAAGGGCACUGAGGCCUAGAGAGGCUUAUAUUAUUGAGGGUUAGGAAUACAUUUUGAGUUAUUUCUCACCAUCACCAGAUUCUCUUUUACAAGGAAAAUCUAAUCCUGGCAUUUCUCUGCUUAGACAUCUUGGAUUGAUUUUUCAUAUCUAGGAUGAUUUCCAAAGUCCUACCAUCAUCAGGAGUUUGGCUGGUAACAGAAACGUAACAAGUCCUCACUGGCAUGAAAGGUUUUUCACACACUGCUCUUCUGUCCUCAUCUGGAGCUAUUUAGCACCACGCAGCAGCCACCAAGAACUUCUCGUUAUUUCUGAA
rnacentral:lncRNA from 1 species